GCCCGAGUGGCUCAAUGGCGAGAGCGCUUGACUACGAAUCAAGCGGUUGUGGGUUCGAGUCCCACCUCGGGUG